rnacentral:lncRNA from 1 species
UAUUUUAAAACUUUUUUAUUAGUUAAUCAUAAGAGAUGUAUUUAAGAUUACACAUUAUUUGAGAUAUUUUUUUUAGAUUAAAAACUUACUUGUAACAUACAUCUUAAAAGUUUAAGAUAUUACUCCACAGGUGGUAGUACUACAUACUGCAUGCGUGGUGUCAUUUGUAGCUACGUAUACGUACUACAAAUUGUUUAUACAGAAAUAUAUAUCUAUAUAUCAAGCUUCCACCAGUGGAGGUAUAUAUGAUCGUGCAUAUCGAAAUGAAUCAGUCGCGGCCACCACCUGGCAGCUUCUCCUUAAUAAUCUUUUCCAUCAUUUCUAUCUUCUCCUGGACGUGGUGCUGCUCGUCUCCUGCAGCAGCAUAUCCUCCUCCUCCUCCUCCUCCAGGUGAAUAAGUAGCCGCCUGCUCCCCCUCCUUAUUGUUCCCCUUAAUCUUUUCCAUCAUUCCUUUCUUCUCGUGGCCGUGGUGCUGCUCUUCUCCUGCAGCAUAUCCUCCUCCUACAGGUGAAUAAAUAGCCUGCUCCCCCUCCUGCUUGUGCCCGCCAGCACCCGGUAACUUCUCCUUUAUCUUCCCUUUUAUCCCUUUCUUCUUCCUCCCUCCCACUCCAUCAUCCUCAGACUGUAUGUAUAUGUAUAUAUAUACAAAUUACAGUUAUAUAUGUGUACCAGUACCAAUCACAUCAAUAUAUACAAAUUACAGAGCUGGAAAUUAAAUAUAUAUAUAUAUAUAUAUAGAUAGAUAUGUAUACGUAGGCACUUACAGAGCUGGAACUACCGGAUCGGCGAAGCUGCGACUGAUCAUGUGCACCACUGCCAGCAGAGCCAUAGGCUUCGGUAGCUCCCCCAGUUUGGUGAAUUGGGUUCCCCAACUGUUCUGUUUGUCCAACUGGAUUCCCAUAAGCGUCUGUCCCUCGCUCCUGCUGCUCCUGCCCAUAUCGCUCUCUGUAGUUUGCCAUUAUAUUAUAUAUUGCCAAAUCUAAAUCAAGAAUUCUAGUCGAAGGUAGUGUAAUAAAAUAUCAAACUCUUUUUGGUGAAGAAAUGGAGCUCAAGUAAUAAAUGUUUGAUGUUAUAAAUUGAAGUGGUGCCGAAGUUCGCUAUGGUCACAGAUUUAUAUAGGCACGGAAAAGUGGGGCACUUGAAGAAGGUAGUGACUCCCGGGUUUAAUGGUUUAAUUUUCAAUAUUACUCUACACUCUCUCUGUUUCUGACUUUUGAACAGAAAAGAAAAGAAUAGAAAACUUAAAUUAUAACAGAAAAAAGAAAGAAUAGAAAACUUGAAGUUUUUCUUUGUGUUAUUUCUGAGUUUUUAAUAGAAAAGAAUAUAAAAUUUAAAAUUGAGGACAUAAGUUGUAAUUUAAAAUUUAUUAUAUUAAAAGUUAAGGAUAAUAUGUGAAUUAUAAAAAUAUUACUUAUUUCAAUUUCUUUUCCGUCCAAAUUAGGCUAAUUUUGGAUGGAAAACUUUGACAGGAAAAGUGGCCAAGUUUUCUAUUAAUUUUUUUUUUUUUCUGUUUAUUAAAAAACUUAGAAACAUAAGUGUUGAAAAGAAAACUUAAAUUUUCCGUCUAUUUCUUUUCUUUUCUGUCCAUUUUAAAACUCAGAAACAGAACGUAAAUAUUUCCUCCGUUACUUAAUAUAAAUUAUUUUAGAUAAUUGUUUUUUUUCAUUAAUAUAAGUUCUCGUUUGAGAAUUUCAAGUAAGCAUUAAUUAUUUAGUUUUCAAUAUUACUUCAAGUAAUAAAUAUAACUUUGGUUCUCUUACUAUUUUUUGCCUAAUAAAUAACACUAUUUUUUUCCAAUACAAGGACAAUAUAGACAAUUGAUAUUAUAUUUAAUGUUAUACAUUCAUUUCCUUAAUACUUGUGUACAACUCUAAAACGAUUUAUAUUAAGGAAUGGAGGGAGUAUUAAAUAUAACUUUGAUUAUCUCACUACUAUUGUCUAUUUUUUCAAUACAAAUGCAAUAUAUACAAUUAAUAUUAUAUUUAAUGUUUUACAAUCAUUUCGUUAAUACUUGUGCACAACUUUAAAACGACUUAUAUUAAAGAACGGGUAGUGUAUGUUCUAAUAUACGACAUUAGAGAUAAGAUUGUGAAAGAAGGAUCAGAUUACCAUGAAAUUAACUUAUCAACAGAGAAAAAUAUUACAUAUUAAUCUGUGUAUCCAUAUUAUAUUAAUCAAUUGAGCCAACUUCAUGCUAAACCACUAAGAGUAUUACGUAUUAUCAUCAUUUCAACAUUUUGCAUUUAUCCUCGGAAGAAAAAAAAUAUAUCAUUUCAAGUGACUUGGUUGUCUGCUUCUCAAAAGCAAGAUGACACUUCACCGAGUCCAUUAACAUGAGAGACAAAAAUGGAUGUGUUGCCGACAAUGACUCAUUUUCAUCGUUCAAAAUAAGUACAAAAGACUAUCAGAUAUUUUAAGGUUUUAAAUUAUAAAAUUAUUAUUGUUAUUAUAAAACAAAUAAAAUGACUAAAAAUGAGAGAUAAUUUUGGUCUUUUGACAUUAUAUAAUAUUAGUAUUCAGUAACACACAUAUUGUCUGUGUAAAUAAUGUGAUUAUGGAAUAAUUUUUUUAUAAAAUUUAAAGAAUUAAAUAGAAAGAUAUAUAAAUUUUAAAUUAAAAAAUUUAAAUAGUAAUAUAACUAAAUAUGCAAGGAUAAAAGAGAGAAAAAAUUAUUGUGCUCCAAUUACACCAACGAAGUGAGUGGCUCUUUGAGAGCCGCUUUAUUAUUAGAGAAAGCACACCGACACAGGUGGUAGUACUACAUACUGCAUGUGUGGUGUCAUUUGUAGCUAUGCAUACGUACUACAAAUUAUUUAUACACAGAAAUAUAUAUAUAUAUAUAUAUAUAUAUAUAUAUAUAUAUAUAUAUAUA